AUUGAACGCUGGCGGCAGGCCUAACACAUGCAAGUCGAGCGGAUGAAGGGAGCUUGCUCCUGGAUUCAGCGGCGGACGGGUGAGUAAUGCCUAGGAAUCUGCCUGGCAGUGGGGGAUAACGUCCGGAAACGGGCGCUACUACCGCAUACGUCCUGAGGGAGCAAGUGGGGGAUCUUCGGACCUCGCGCUUGGAGAUGAGCUUAGGUCUGAUUAGCUAGUUGGUGGGGUAAAGGCUUACCAAGGCGACGAUCCGUAGCUGGUCUGAGAGGAUGAUCAGUCACGUUGGGACUGAGCUACGGCACAGACUACUACGGGAGGCAGCAGUGUGGAAUAGUGCACAAUGGGCGGGAGCCUGAUGCAGCAACGCCGCGUGCGGGAUGACGGGCUUCGGGUUGUAAAACGCUUUCGCCUGUGACGAAGCGUGAGUGACGGUAAUGGGUAAAGAAGCAACGGCUAACUACGUG
rnacentral:rRNA from 1 species